rnacentral:tRNA from 1 species
UCCUUGGUAGUCCAGUGGCUAAGACACUGCACUCCCUAAGCAGGGACCCUGGGUUCAAUCCCUGGUUGGGGAA